CUUGCUUUUCAGCCUUUUGGCUAAGAUCAUAUGUAAUAUCUGUUUUAUCAAUUUAAUAUCUGAUACAUCCUCUAUCCAAAGUCAAUAUGUUAAGUGGAUGUUUGGAGCAGGAAGAUAGAACAGGAGCUUGCUCUAUCCUUUCCAUGUAUUGCCCUAGUAUAGCAAUACUUCAAGGAUUGUUGCACCCCAC
ensembl:snRNA U2 U2 spliceosomal RNA